GCAUAUCAAUAAGCGGAGGAAAAGAAACUAACAAGGAUUCCCCUAGUAGCGGCGAGCGAAGCGGGAAGAGCUCAAAUUUAUAAUCUGGCACUUUCAGUGUCCGAGUUGUAAUCUCUAGAAGUGUUUUCCGCGUUGGACCGCACACAAGUCUGUUGGAACACAGCGGCACAGUGGUGAGACCCCAUUACAUGGUGCGGAUGCCCAGCGCUUUGCGAUACACUUUCAAAGAGUCGAGUUGUUUGGGAAUGCAGCUCAAAUUGGGUGGUAAAUUCCAUCUAAAGCUAAAUAUUGGCGAGAGACCGAUAGCGAACAAGUACCGUGAGGGAAAGAUGAAAAGCACUUUGGAAAGAGAGUUAACAGUACGUGAAAUUGUUGGAAGGGAAACGCUUGAAGUCAGACUUGCUUGCCGGGCUUGCUCGGUUUGCAGGCCAGCAUCAGUUUUCUGGGGUGGAAAAUGACGGUUAGAAGGUAGCAGCCUCGGCUGUGUUAUAGCUUUCCGUUGGAUACAUCCUGGGGGACUGAGGAACGCAGCGCGCUUUUAGCGAGGGUUUCGACCCUUUCGCGCUUAGGAUGCUGGUG
rnacentral:rRNA from 1 species